rnacentral:lncRNA from 1 species
UUACAUUUAUCUCAAAAUACCUCACAUCCUAUACAUCAUCUACUCUCAAUACAUGUAUAGGGUAACUCUAAUGCAAAAUAGGAAAGUAAACUAUCAACUAGCACUAGGGCGCUAAGCCCAUAACGCGAUCCUCUGCCGAUCCGCUCUCGUGUGUACCUGUACCCCAAAACCACACGGGGUGAGAACUAUAUAAAUAUAGUUCCCAGUGGGUUCGGCCGCCGACUCCGCCGAUCUUCCCACUAGGUCCAAGCUGGCACAGAUAGAUAGAUAGAAAGAUAUAUGGAAAUACUACUACUAUAUCUACUAUGCCAUCAAAUGCAAAGUAUGCAUGGAACAUCAUCUAGCAAUAACCUACCAUCAUGCUAGUAUGCCUCAACAGUGAAAUAAAUACAACAACAACAUAGUUAUGCAAUGCACUAUGUCUAAUCAAGGUAUGAAUGCAAUACUCUUAUGCUAUUCAUGUUGUUACCCAAUCCGCUAGGCUAACUUGCCUAAGAUCUCAAAUCUAGUAGGUGAAGAGCUACCUCACUCUUGUCUCACUCGACUCAUAUCUCAAGGGUCUGACCCAAUCUCGUGAGUCCCAGGCAAAGAGCUACCCCGCCCCUCGCCCGACUCACAUCUCAAGGUCCUAGGCAAAGGCUACCCCGCACUUUGCACGACUCACAUCUCAAAGAACUGGCUCACAUCUCAAAGAACUAGGCAAAGGCUACCCCGCAUUUUGCCCGACUCACAUCUCGACCUACUAGGUACAGGGCUACUCCACUCAAAUCUCAUAGGUGAACAACAGCAACAACUAUGGAAGCAAGCUAUCAUGAACAACAACAAUGAGUAUGACUCAAUAGGUACUCAAAUCUCAUAGGUGAAGGAAUAGUAUAUCAUGAAGGCAUGAGCAAUAAGUAAGCUACUAUGAACACUAGUAAGCUACUAUGAACAACAACAACAACUAUAGAAGCAAGCUAUCAUGAACAACAAUAAUGAGUAUGACCCAAUAGGUAACCCAAUCUCCAAGUGAACACGAGGUUCACAAGCAAGGCUCACAUAUCAAUCUCCGAGGGAUGCCUAGCUGGACGAUCCCCGAGUACGCCUGCGGAUAACAAGCGGCUAUCCGAGCAGCAAGCACGGCUGCCUCUCUAGUGACCAAACUCCGGAGCGCACAACUUGAGGGGAGCGACCCCACCAAGCGCAGACAGGCAAUGUGAGCGUGAUCAUCUCACGAGCAACAGCAACCUACCCUCUAAGGGUAAUCUCAUCAUGGAAUCAAGGUGUUCUUGUACCCAAUCUCAUAGUGUUUCAACUACACUAAGGUUCUCAUGUCAAGGUUAUCAACAAUCAUAUGCCACUCAUCAUAGUUUUCUAAACUAGAUGCCACUCGACAUUUAGACUCAUUUCAACACUAGUUACAUCAUACUAGUUCUUUAGCAACAUAAGUAUUAAUCACCUCACAUAGGGUCUAGGUCUUUAUCAUAAAGUUUUCAUCAUAUAAUCAUCAUGCAUACUAGAUCAUGGAUCAAUC